UAGGGAAUCUUCCGCAAUGGGCGAAAGCCUGACGGAGCAACGCCGCGUGAGUGAUGAAGGUCUUCGGAUCGUAAAACUCUGUUAUUAGGGAAGAACAAAUGUGUAAGUAACUAUGCACGUCUUGACGGUACCUAAUCAGAAAGCCACGGCUAACUACGUGCCAGCAGCCGCGGUAAUACGUAGGUGGCAAGCGUUAUCCGGAAUUAUUGGGCGUAAAGCGCGCGUAGGCGGUUUUUUAAGUCUGAUGUGAAAGCCCACGGCUCAACCGUGGAGGGUCAUUGGAAACUGGAAAACUUGAGUGCAGAAGAGGAGAGUGGAAUUCCAUGUGUAGCGGUGAAAUGCGCAGAGAUAUGGAGGAACACCAGUGGCGAAGGCGACUUUCUGGUCUGUAACUGACGCUGAUGUGCGAAAGCGUGGGGAUCAAACAGGAUUAGAUACCCUGGUAGUCCACGCCGUAAACGAUGAGUGCUAAGUGUUAGGGGGUUUCCGCCCCUUAGUGCUGCAGCUAACGCAUUAAGCACUCCGCCUGGGGAGUACGACCGCAAGGUUG
rnacentral:rRNA from 1 species